rnacentral:rRNA from 1 species
GUGUCAGCCGCCGCGGUAAUACGUAGGCCCCGAACGUUGCGCGAAUUUACUGGGCGUAAAGGGUCCGUAGGCGGUCUGGUAAGUGGAAGGUGAAAUCCUGGGGCUCAACUCCAGAAUUGCCUUCCAAACUGCCGGACUUGAGGAAGGGAGAGGUCGGCGGAAUUCCCGGUGUAGCGGUGAAAUGCGUCGACAUCGGGAGGAACACCAGUGGCGAAGGCGGCCGACUGGAACUGACCUGACGCUGAGGGACGAGAGCCAGGGGAGCGAACCGGAGUAGAUACCCGGGUAGUCCUGGCCGUAAACGAUGGAUGCUAGAUGUGGGCGGGGAGAUCCGUCCGUGUCGCAAGCUAACGCGUUAAGCAUCCCGCCUGGGGAGUACGGCCGCAAGGUUGAAACUUAAAUGAAUUGGCGGGG